rnacentral:tRNA from 1 species
ACUCGUUUGGUGGAAUAGGUAGACACGACAGACUCAAAAUCUGUUCCUAAAUUAGGUUAUCGGUUCGAGUCCGAUAACGAGUA